rnacentral:lncRNA from 1 species
GAAUAAGUAAGUAAAAUUACAUGUGCAAAAAAUAUCUUAGGUCAUUGAAAGAAAAAAAAGAGUGUUGAUAUGUGAACAAAAAAAGUCACAUGGGUAAAGAUACUUAUUUACAUUGACAACUUUGACCAUCCUAUCAAUGAUGUGUGGAGGCAUUUUGCUCCAUUUUUCGACAUUCAGAGGAGCAUUCUGUCUAAUAAUUUGAGCUGUCUCAGUAAUGAAUUGUUGGAAAUUUGUAUCCACUACUCGUCUUAGGUCUUCAGGUAUCUCAAUUGCAGGUUUUGCCUUUUCUUCUUUUCUCUUUUUUGCCCACUUUAGCCCUAUAGUUUUGCCUCGUGUCCUCUUUCUCUCAUAACAUGAAGCUAACAUUAGCACAACCAAAACAAUAUAAAGUUAUCAUAUAAAUAUAAACUGUAUUAAUAGUUUUCAUUAAAAAAAGUAAGUUAUAUUAUGAAGUAUGCAAAAAUUGAAUAUAAACUAUUAAACUUCCAUACCAGCACUACUACUAU